UAGGGAAUCUUCGGCAAUGGACGAAAGUCUGACCGAGCAACGCCGCGUGAGUGAAGAAGGUUUUUCGGAUCGUAAAACUCUGUUGUUAGAGAAGAACAAGGGUGAGAGUAACUGUUCACCCCUUGACGGUAUCUAACCAGAAAGCCACGGCUAACUACGCGCCAG
rnacentral:rRNA from 1 species